rnacentral:lncRNA from 1 species
CAGUACUCUAGCUGAUCGAGCAGUCAAAAGGCUGCUUGACCUAAGCAUCUUCUUUUCCAAAAAGUGAAGGAAUUAGUAACCAAUGUAAUGGAAACAGAAAUCACCAGAAUACUGAGGCCUGAGCAGGAGGCUGCUGUGCUUUGGCAGGAACCCCGAGGCUGCCGUGCUGUCUGCUGUGGGGAGCCUGCAGAGCUGCUUCCUCUGCCAAGUGUGUGCACCAGAAAGCCAAUCUAAUAAAGCACAUAGACUUCACUUCACGUGGACAAGUCUCUGCCAUGGGUGGAACUGGGGCCUUAGUCUUGAUGAUACCUUGUGCACAGACUGGUACUGCAUAUUUUCACAGCCACAGUUCUCUAAUGGAAGGAGAUUGCUUCAUCUGCAAUACUCUGCAUCCAUUUUGAGCACCAAAUCCAAGUUCUGCCUGCACAGAUAUCACAGCCGGGGCUCACUGACUGAUGCACAAGCUGCCACUUGAAGUGGGGUACUUGGGGGUGUUCUUAUGCAAAACAUUGACAACCCUUCUGGACCACAGAACUGCAGCCUUUCCAAGUCAUUCAGAAAAGACAGAAGCUUGAGAAAUAACUCAAAAUAAAGUCCUUUGUGUAUUCA